UGGGGAUUAUUGCACAAUGGGCGGAAGCCUGAUGCAGCGACGCCGCGUGGGGGAUGAAGGCCUUCGGGUUGUAAACUCCUUUCGACAGGGACGAAGCUUUUGUGACGGUACCUGUAUAAGAAGCACCGGCUAACUACGUGCCAGCAGCCGCGGUAAUACGUAGGGUGCGAGCGUUGUCCGGAAUUACUGGGCGUAAAGAGCUCGUAGGUGGUUUGUCGCGUCGUCUGUUAAAUUCCGGGUCUUAACUCCGGGCGUGCAGGCGAUACGUGCUGACUUGAGUGCUGUAGGCGAGACUGGAAUUCCUGGUGUAGCGGUGAAAUGCGCAGAUAUCAGGAUGAAAACCGAUGGCGAAGGCAGGUCGCUCGGCAGUAACUGUCGCUGAGGAGCGAAAGCAUGGGUAGCGAACAGG
rnacentral:rRNA from 1 species